UUAGGUGGUUUUAGCAGAGGGGCUCACCUGUUCCCAUUCCGAACACAGAAGUUAAGCCCUCUAGCGCCGAUGGUACUGCUAACGCGGGAGAGUAGGUCGCCGCCAGUU
rnacentral:rRNA from 1 species